CCUACGGGAGGCAGCAGUGGGGAAUUUUGGACAAUGGGGGCAACCCUGAUCCAGCCAUGCCGCGUGUGCGAAGAAGGCCUUCGGGUUGUAAAGCACUUUUGUCAGGAACGAAAAGUUCUGCCCUAAUACGGUAGGACGAUGACGGUACCUGAAGAAUAAGCACCGGCUAACUACGUGCCAGCAGCCGCGGUAAUACGUAGGGUGCAAGCGUUAAUCGGAAUUACUGGGCGUAAAGCGUGCGCAGGCGGUUGUAUAAGACAGAUGUGAAAUCCCCGGGCUCAACCUGGGAACUGCAUUUGUGACUGUACGGCUAGAGUGUGUCAGAGGGGGGUGGAAUUCCACGUGUAGCAGUGAAAUGCGUAGAUAUGUGGAGGAACACCAAUGGCGAAGGCAGCCCCCUGGGAUAACACUGACGCUCAUGCACGAAAGCGUGGGGAGCAAACAGGAUUAGAUACCCUGGUAGUCCACGCCCUAAACGAUGUACAACUAGUUGUUGGGUCAAUAUAUGACUUGGUAACGUAGCUAACGCGUGAAGUUGACCGCGUGGGGAGGUACGGUCCGGCGAACGGUUAAACGUUAAAGGUAAAGUUAGUUAGGUCGUUGAGACGUGCCGACGGACGACGACGAGGGAGGAGG
rnacentral:rRNA from 1 species